rnacentral:misc_RNA from 1 species
AUCAUGUCCGACCCCGCGCAGGAGGCGAGGGCGCGCAACCUGUCGCGCGAGUUGCGCUGCAUGGUCUGUCAGAACCAAUCGAUCGACGAUUCCGAUGCGCCGCUGGCGCGCGAUCUGCGCCUGCUGGUGCGCGAGCGCAUCGCGGCCGGUAACACCGAUCAGCAGGUGAUGGACUUUCUCGUCGCGCGCUACGGCGAGUUCGUACUGCUCAAGCCGCGCGUGGAAAGCCGGACGCUGUUGCUGUGGCUGAUUCCCCCGCUGG